UCCCUGACAGUCUGGUGGUUAGGACUUUGCACUUCCACUACAGGAGGGCACAGGUUCGAUCCCUGGUCAGGGAA
rnacentral:tRNA from 1 species